rnacentral:misc_RNA from 1 species
UUUCCGUAGGUGAACCUGCGGAAGGAUCAUUAACACGCUACCCACGUUUACAAACCAUUGUCGAAAUUGUUUUUCAUGUGAGAGUGAUUGAGAGUGGAGGAAGGAAGAAGGUUUUGCCUUUUUCUUUUUUUCUCUUUCACCAUUCGAACACAAUUUAUUUACCCUUUGUAUCUUUUCUGUUCGAUUUCGAACAGAGUGUACUGAAUGAAAAUUGUUUUUUCUUCUUUAAAAAAAGAAAUCCAUAAACAAUUCUUAGCAACGGAUAUCUUGGCUCUCGCAUUGAUGAAGAACGCAGC